CCAAUAGAAGGAGGUAUAAAUUACUGUAUUUUCUGGCGUAUAAGACUACUUUUUAACCCAAGAAAAUCUUCUCAAAAGUCGGGGAUCGUCUUAUACGCUGGGUCAUCUUAUAGGG